rnacentral:rRNA from 1 species
AUUGAACGCUGGCGGCAUGCCUUACACAUGCAAGUCGAACGGCAGCGCGGGUGCUUGCACCUGGCGGCGAGUGGCGAACGGGUGAGUAAUACAUCGGAACGUGCCCUAGAGUGGGGGAUAACUAGUCGAAAGAUUAGCUAAUACCGCAUACGAUCUACGGAUGAAAGUGGGGGACCGCAAGGCCUCAUGCUCCUGGAGCGGCCGAUGUCUGAUUAGCUAGUUGGUGGGGUAAUAGCCUACCAAGGCGACGAUCAGUAGCUGGUCUGAGAGGACGACCAGCCACACUGGGACUGAGACACGGCCCAGACUCCUACGGGAGGCAGCAGUGGGGAAUUUUGGACAAUGGGGGCAACCCUGAUUCAGCAAUGCCGCGUGUGUGAAGAAGGCCUUCGGGUUGUAAAGCACUUUUGUCAGGAACGAAACGGUGGGGGCUAAUACCUCCUGCUAAUGACGGUACCUGAAGAAUAAGCACCGGCUAACUACGUGCCAGCAGCCGCAGUAA